ACCGUUACAAACAGUGUGUGAUGCUGCCGCCCGAUGGUGAAUAGCCUCUGGUUGGUAUGGGGGGGUUCGCCCCUUCACGCUCAACGCGUCAUGCCAUCCUUAACUUUACGAGCAGCCUUCUGUUCUCCCUCGGCAAGGGCCUCGCCCCUGCCGUGUGGAACUACAAAACUCUUUUUUGGCAUCUAGCAUUACCUGUUCCGACAAAAACAAUCGUUUA
rnacentral:misc_RNA from 1 species